rnacentral:lncRNA from 1 species
UCGGAACGGUUGUUAUUUCCAUCCUAAAAGCUUGCCCUCUCAAUUUUCGUAAACCGGCGCUUUUGAACCCCUAUUUUUAUAUUAUUUUUUUAAUUAAUAUUAUUUCAUAAAAGAAACUAUUUAUUUGUUCUUCUAAAUAUGCCCUAACCUCUUUCCGAUCCCCUUUGAGCGUACCCAGCCAGAACCUCCAUUGUCCUGCCACUAUCCGCCAUCGACCUCCGUCGCACCUGCCAAUAUCCCGCCGUCAACCUUCGUCAACACCAGCAGAACCUCAAUUUUCUUUUUCCUCCACCUAUCAAAUUUAUCUCCUCCACCAGAAACAGCAACCAUUCAAUUAAUCAAAGCUCCAUGGUUUCAAAUAGUCCCAAAAUUCUAGGGUUUUUUUCUCGAUUAAGCUCGACUACAACUUCUUAUUCUCACUGAGCCUUAACUGUAGGUUUUCGCUCGACUCUCGCAAAGCUCUUCUUUUAUUCCUUUUGUAAUUUCUCAAUAGUUGAGCCAUAACUUGUAAGUUUUCUUAAAUGCAACUGAUAGCUGGUUUCUCAAUAGAUGAAAAUGCAACUGAUAGUUGUGGGAUAAAUAAUUGUAAGUUUUCUUAAACUCUUUUUAAUAUAAACCGUUGUGAUUUUGGAUGAAAAUUUCAGUUUUAAUGUUCCUUUUUACUCGAUUCAGUGAUUUUUAUUUUAUUUUUGGGAGUAAUUGAGUGAUGUAGUGUGAUUGAAUGGAGAUUCAAAUCCAUAUGACACAAGCAUGAAAAUGUAUUUAUUCGGACUUAAAAAUUACUGGAACUUGGGGUUUUUGGUUUUUAUGAAUUUUCUUAGUUAUCGUUUUCAUGUAAAAUUCUCGUGUUAUGAGGCUUUUUUUGUUGCAUAUUUGUCUCUAUGUCUAUGAUUUAAGAAUAAUCUUGUCUUUAUAAUAGUUUUAUGCUUGUGUUUGAAACCAAUAUAGAAUUCGACGAAUCUGUUGGAGUAUUUUAAUCCAACAGAUCUUGAGUCUAUAUUUAUUAUGCGCCACGCGGAGAAAGAAAAUUAUUAAACCAGAAUUAGUAGAGGGCCAAAAUAUACCUUAUAUAUUCAUUUGUGUAUGUUCCUUGGGGCUAUCGUAAGAUCUAACAGCUAUGUUCAUGUGCAGAAUUUAAACAAGAUUCAGAAGGUGAAAAGCCUUGUGCUUGUUAUACAUGUAAGUUUUUUUUUUUUUGCAUUAGUUGACAUUUACAUUCAAAUUUCUUAUGCAAUGUUGACAUUUUAAGUGAUGAGGGUAAGAUUAAAUUUAACUAAUAUAGAGAAGAGAACAAAUGGAUAUGAACUUUUAUUUCUUUUCAACUAAAGAAUCCUAUCUGCCAUGAAGACAAUCAGAGAUAUAAGAACAACUUCCUUUUCUCUUUUAAUUUCCAUAUGAGACAUCUUGGGAAUAUCCUUUUGGGAUGAGACCUUUUGGAUCAUUAUCGUUUUUAUAUGAUAAGAUUCUAUCCCUGUAUAAUUGUCACGCCCCAAAACCGAGGAGCGCGACCGGCGCUCAACCGAGUGAACCCGACCGAGCAAGCCUGUUAG